UACUGGCACUAUAUUAUUGGCUUUUCUGGAUCUCCAGCUUGCCUACCACAAAUCUUGGAAUUUCCUAGCCAUCUUAACCAUAUGAACUUUGGAAUGGAAGACAUAUUAGUACUUUGUUUUUGCAAGCUAUCAUGCAAGGAAAAGAUAAACAACUAGCAGGAGUCAUGUAAAUACAGCUGGACUUUCCAGUGAUGUCAUCGUGUUUCAUUGUUUAUCACUCCUUGUUUGCACUAUUCCCCAAUAAAUACAUCCAGGUUCCAUUACCAUGUCCACUCUGCCAAAAAGAAAACUGCAGAUGAAGAGCAGAAGGUCAAUAACUUGCCCAGGGUCAAAUAGCUAUAAGCAGUGGAUAUAGG